rnacentral:rRNA from 1 species
UUCCAUGCCUUUGCAUCCAGAGACUUUACAAGGAAAGAUUGGGGCCUUUGGGAACUUUGCCCCCAGUAGUGCAAGGGCUUUGUUAAAUUGGUUAUGGAAAAUGAAGAGGUUAGAUCCGUCAAGAGGGCAACCCCUGUCCUUAGUUUCCCACAGGUUCGGCUGGGCACUCUAAGGAGACUGCCAGUGAUAAACCGGAGGAAGGUGGGGAUGACGUCAAGUCAUCAUGGCCCUUACGGCUAGGGCUACACACGUGCUACAUUGGCAUAUACAAAGGGAAGCCAACUCGCGAGAGCACACCCAUCUCACAAAACCGAUUGUAGUCCGGAUUGCAGUCUGCAACUCGACUCCGUGAAGUCGGAAUCGCUAGAAAACGUAGAUCAGAAUGUUGCGGUGAAUAAGUUCCCGGCCCCCCCCUUUUCCCCCCCGUCCACCCCAUGGAUUAAGCGAAGCCGCCUUCCCUCACUAAAUU